UACGGGAGGCAGCAGUGGGGAAUAUUGCACAAUGGGCGAAAGCCUGAUGCAGCUAUGCCGCGUGUAUGAAGAAGGCCUUAGGGUUGUAAAGUACUUUCAUCGGGGAGGAAAAAACAAAACUAAUAAUUUUAUUUCUUGACGUUACCCGAAAAAGAAGCACCGGCUAACUCCGUGCCAGCAGCCGCGGUAAUACGGAGGGUGCUAGCGUUAAUCAGAAUUACUGGGCGUAAAGAGCACGUAGGUGGUUUUUUUAAAGUCAGAUGUGAAAUCCCUGGGCUUAACCUAGGAACUGCAUUUUGAAACUGAAAUACUAGAGUAUCGUAGAGGGAGGUAGAAUUCUAGGUGUAGCGGUGAAAUGCGUAGAUAUCUGGAGGAAUACCUGUGGCGAAAGCGGCCUCCUAAACGAAUACUGACACUGAGGGUGCGAAAGCGUGGGGA
rnacentral:rRNA from 1 species